UGAGCGAGUAAAAUGUUUAUAGAUUUGUAUCAAAUUAACUUUUAUAUUGCCAUUAAAUAGAAGCAGUGGUACAUAAAUUAAUAUACUGAAAAGACAAUGUAGUAAGGCGGAAUUGAUGCUAACAAAAAACAAGAAAUCGGUGAGAAAUAUUUUAUAGAAGGUGAGAAUUUAUUUUAAUAUCGAUAUCCUGGGAUAACUCUGCUGUAAAUAUGUAGAAUAUUAACUAAAUACAUGGUAAAUAUAGUAAUGAUAUUUAUCAAUGCACUAUUGAAAUGCAUGUAUUCGCCUGUGUUAACUAGAACGUUUGAAUAUUUGGGAGCUUUGAGCACUGUGUUGUUAAGAAUUUAUUGAUCAAAAUAUAGAUGUGUUAUGUACUUGCCAAAAAUUUUUAUUUUAUAAUUUUUGUUUGAUGUUUAGGAAAUGUUUUACCUGUGGCAGAAAAUUUAAAUGGUGCCAUACAGGCAUAUACAGGGACAGUUGUCAAGAAAAUAUAUAAUUAAACAAGGUCAUAUUUGAAGAAUUUGAUGAAAGUGGUAUUUGUGAAUGACAAAGUUCAGGCAAGACAUAUUGGACAACAUGGAUGUACAUAAUUUUGCUGUUCAUUUAUUUCGUCAGUCAGGAACUGUCCGAACUGUAGUCUGCAUAGUGUCAUG
rnacentral:lncRNA from 1 species